GAAGAUCAAUUGCAAAUUGUCUCAAAAUAUUACUCUCUACAUCAUAUUAAAAUUUAACUCAAAAAUUAAAAGAAAGAAACCUUUUUUCAGUAGCUGUGUAUAGAGAAAUACACACAUUCCUACAGGAGGUAGAGAAGAACAUUUCUACGGGCUGUAGUGACCAGGUGGUGCAUUGCAGUUGCUGGCCAACAACUUUUGCUGACACAAUAAAGCAAAUUCAACAUGCAAAUAUGUGAACUGAAUUUACCUUUCUGACCUGUGACCAUACACCAUCCCCAGCUAUAUGUAUAGGGCCUACAUUCGCCCAGCCAGCUUUAGCUAACUAAACGAUAACUGGAAAUCAGCUGUUACACCCACACAUUCAGCUUGGAAAUGGUGGUACAUAGACUUUGGGAAGACAGUUUUGGUAUGGUUAUGCUAGUUGUUUAAAAAAAAAAAAAAUCUUCAGGGUUACACAUUGCUGCAGUUCACUGCUGCACCUCUGUUCCUUAAUUACUAAGCUAGGGUUACAUACCUACACAAUCUACUUUAGGUAUCACUCAUUAAUUAGCAGGUAAAGGUUUAAAUUAGUCUUCCCAAUAGACAUGCUAAUAACCUGUUGGCUUGAAAAAUGGAGUGUUCUAAGCUGCCCUAUAAGGAGGGGGAGGAGGGCCUAUAUGUUUCUGACCCUGGGGUGUAUAAAUGCUGGUGAUUUCAGGCAAGUGACCUCUUUGCAGAUUAUUGACUGUUCAGUGGCUGAAAAGGGAAUUGUGCAGGAAUCCUGAUUGCAUUAUGUGUCAAGUUCCCCUGCCUGGGGGAAAGGGUGGGAUUGCACAAAAGAUAAAGGCAUGCUCUGUAAAGAUACCUAAGUGGGUGGGUUGCUUCUGCUACUGACCUGAGUCUGGACGUCCAUUUACAGAUGAAAUACUGAAGCCAAAACUGCCUUGUGGGGGGCGCUGAAGCUGUAAAAGGCGGGUUCCAUCAGGGUACACCUCAGCUACGCGCCCCAGCACCCUUGGCAUACCAGGGGAUCCAAUGUCUUCCACACUCAGUGCGCGCCUGAGUAAAACAAAGGUGCCGUGUUGGCAUCUUCCGUGAGGUAGACAGCAGAUCGCUCUGAUUUUCCCAGCAGGUUCUGCACUGAGGAUGCUUUCCGUGACUGUGGCAAAGAUGUCCUUGCUCCAGAACCAGGCUCUACAUUAUGUUGUUUAUUUUUGGAACUCCUAAGAGGACCCAAAGUGCGACAGGAUUUUUUCUGUGCCCUGUUGACCUCGUCUUCCCCAGAUGAGUCGGCAGUGGAAUCACCUCCAAUAUGGGUCUCUCGGAUGAGUUCAGAAUGGACUCUCCAUGGCUGUGAUGGAAGAAUCCAGUGAGGAGAAGGUUUGGUUCCCAAGGGAGAGUUAAUGGAUCCAUCCUGAGAUAUUCUAGAGCCUAAGUGAACGUUCCAUAGGUUUGACCCUGCAGAAUAAGCCUCCAGAUUCUGUCUCUGAACUCCUGAGCCCUUAAUAUAAGAGCCACAAGUUCCACAUUGGUUUUCAUUUCCAAAAGGUACCAGAUGCUGUGUCCAAGAUACGUGACCAUUGGAGCGGCGAGCUGGUGGUGUGGUUGGGGAGAUACCGGCUGAUGGAGGACCCUGCUGCUGACGUUCUCGGUAACGCUCCUCCACAUCACGCUCUGAUUCAUCUUGAAAUCGCACAUGAGAGGGUGAAGAUCCCCGUGAGCUUCGAUGCCAAGAACAAUGAUCGCUGCCAGAACUGUCACUUAAAGAGCCCCCAUCAGUCACAGCACCAGAUACACAGGGACCACUUAAGAAACAGAAAAAAAUAUAUACAUAUGUUAAAGCUUUCUUUUUUGUCAAUGUACAGUUUUUUAUUUUAAGUAUUUGUGAUGCACUGAAUAGAAUUUAGCUUUUACUGAAUACAUUGGAAACAGAAUGCCAAGGCAGGUGCCAUUAUGACGUGGCUCUUUCUGCCACAAACCAGACCUUGUAUACAUUAAAAUAAAAAUGUCAUAAGAAACAU